CUGAUAGCUUAACCAGAGAAAUGUGCACUGAUACACUGUUAAGAGAAAAGAAAGAAUGAAAAAACACUGCUGGGACACAGGGACCGUGCUCGGGUGGGAACCUCUAAAACAGCACUGCAGGCUCACAGUGAGGCCCGGCCCAGAGGGUCACUGUUUCCUGUCGGAUCAAGGCUGCCCAUCGGAACGGCUUUGAGGGAAUGAUGGACACAUUCCAAGCUGGGUGUAUUUGGCUCACUUCCAAGAUUUCUCUUACGUAAAAGUUACUCUCAGCUCCAAGGACUAAGUUAAGGAUCAGCGUGAGAGACAAGCUGUUUCACUCAAAAUAGAUUUUCCUCAACUAUACCUAAAUUAUAUCUGUCAUAUAAGUAUAGCCAUAUAUAAGAAUUCAUUAAGAGAGAUAUGUUGUUUCUCACUGGUGUAACUGGACAUCAAUGGUUCAUUUUAUGAAAAAGCUUAGGUCGUUCAUUUAAACAAGUACACUGUAUAUCU